rnacentral:tRNA from 1 species
AUAAAGAUAGGACAGUCAGGAGUGUCCGUCGGGCUCAUAACCCGAAGGUCGGUGGUUCAAAUCCACCUCUCGCUA